rnacentral:rRNA from 1 species
CCAGUACGGCGAGUGAAGCGGCAACAGCUCAAAUUUGAAAUCUGGCUCUCGGGCCCGAGUUGUAAUUUGUAGAGGAUGCUUUUGGUGAGGUGCCUUCCGAGUUCCCUGGAACGGGACGCCAUAGAGGGUGAGAGCCCCGUCUGGUUGGACGCCGAACCUCUGUAAAGCUCCUUCGACGAGUCGAGUAGUUUGGGAAUGCUGCUCUAAAUGGGAGGUAUAUGUCUUCUAAAGCUAAAUACCGGCCAGAGACCGAUAGCGCACAAGUAGAGUGAUCGAAAGAUGAAAAGAACUUUGAAAAGAGAGUUAAACAGUACGUGAAAUUGUUGAAAGGGAAGCGCUUGUGACCAGACUUGGGCUUGGUUGAUCAUCCGGGGUUCUCCCCGGUGCACUCUUCCGGCCCAGGCCAGCAUCAGUUCGCCCUGGGGGACAAAGGCUUCGGGAACGUGGCUCUCUCCGGGGAGUGUUAUAGCCCGUUGCGUAAUACCCUGUGGCGGACUGAGGUUCGCGCAUUCGCAAGGAUGCUGGCGUAAUGGUCAUCAGUGACCCGUCUUGAAACACGGACCAAGGAGUCGUCUUCGUAUGCGAGUGUUCGGGUGUCAAACCCCUACGCGAAAUGAAAGUGAACGCAGGUGAGAGCUUCGGCGCAUCAUCGACCGAUCCUGAUGUUAUCGGAUGGAUUUGAGUAAGAGCAUACGGGGCCGGACCCGAAAGAAGGUGAACUAUGCCUGUGUAGGGUGAAGCCAGAGGAAACUCUGGUGGAGGCUCGCAGCGGUUCUGACGUGCAAAUCGAUCGUCAAACAUGGGCAUG